rnacentral:rRNA from 1 species
GGGGGGAACCCUGAUGCAGCCAUGCCGCGUGAAUGAAGAAGGCCUUCGGGUUGUAAAGUUCUUUCGGUGGUGAGGAAGGUGGUUGUUUUAAUAGAACAAUCAAUUGACGUUAACUACAGAAGAAGCACCGGCUAACUCCGUGCCAGCAGCCGCGGUAAUACGGAGGGUGCGAGCGUUAAUCGGAAUAACUGGGCGUAAAGGGCACGCAGGCGGUUGAUUAAGUGAGAUGUGAAAGCCCCGGGCUUAACCUGGGAAUUGCAUUUCAUACUGGUCAACUAGAGUACUUUAGGGAGGGGUAGAAUUCCACGUGUAGCGGUGAAAUGCGUAGAGAUGUGGAGGAAUACCGAAGGCGAAGGCAG